rnacentral:rRNA from 1 species
UACGUAGGGGGCUAGCGUUGUCCGGAAUCAUUGGGCGUAAAGAGCGCGUAGGCGGCCAGAUAAGUCCGGUGUGAAAGUCAAAGGCUCAACCUUUGAAUGCCGCUGGAAACUGUCUGGCUAGAGUCCGGGAGGGGCGAGUGGAAUUCCUGGUGUAGCGGUGAAAUGCGCAGAUAUCAGGAGGAACACCAAUGGCGAAGGCAGCUCGCUGGAACGGUACUGGACGCUGAGGCGACGAAAGCGUGGGGGAGCAAACAGG